GUCCUUUCUUCUUCAGCACAUAUGUUAAAUUUGGAAAAAUAUAGAGAAGAUUGGAAGAGCAAUAAUGAUAUGUCAAUUCAUGAAGAAUAUCAUAUAUUC
ensembl:snRNA U6 U6 spliceosomal RNA